GAAAAUUGCCUUCACCUGCCUCCCCCUCUCCGGAGCUGUUGGACGUGUCUGGUGGACUCAUUUUACUGGUUAACCCCUUUCAUGCCUGGAUUCAUUUCCAAUUACCGCAACAGCGGCUGAACUCCACUGAUCUGCUCAGCCACAAACAGCUAACCCUCCAGACUGCAUCAAACUGACUUCUUUUGAUCAACUGGCAUCUGAAAAAAGAGCAGAAUUCCUUAUAAACACUGUGGACACAUCAAGGAGCUCUUACUCCAAUCACAAGAUCAUUAGAAAGUCUCCUUGUCUAUCAGAGAUCUCCUUUAUUGCUCCCAUUACAAAUAUAGAAUAAUGAGGAAAUAUUUCUCUUCUGAUUUUGAAGCCAAAAAAGGAGAAGGGUUGAACCAUUUAAAUUAGCUUUUUAAAACCUGAUGUAUUUCCUUUUCUUUCUUUUAAUGUUGGAUAAUUUCCACUCAAAUCAAUCAGACGUUAGAAUAAAUAGACAACCAAAUGUGUCAUCUUUUUCUUGUGUUUAUCUUAAAUUUCAUUUCUAUAAACGAACCCAAUUUGAAAGUCAGAUGAGCUCUGAAGAACUCGUGCAAAACACGGGAAAUUAAGCCUGGUUCUUGAGAUAGACAAAAGUGUGUGAUUAGCCUCCAUCUCUGUUUUGAGGACCAUUCCCUCCAUCUGAUGAAACAGCAGGAAUCCUGACCUUAUUAUUCACUGUUUGCUGGUUUUAUGAGUUACUAAAUGUGGGGGUGAAAGACAGACAGACAAACAAAAAUCCAAUUUGUCCGUUUCCCCUUUUGCUUUUCCAGUUUCUCGCUCGAUAGUUGGACACUAUGUAAUGCAAAUGCAAGCCUUUCAGUCGCCUGUGAUUGAAGCUCCUGAUUAAAAAGGAUGGACUGUCUGAAGUUUGCAUAUUGGAUAGGAGAGGUAAUCAGCCGUGUGGGAAGUUUCAAUGACGCCUCAGAGGGAAGAUAUCUUUUAUUGCAAAAUACGGUCAGACCUGCCGCAUGCAGGAGCCAAACUGUUUCUCACCCUUCUUUUUCUCCACGUUUGUUAAAUAAAACUGCACGCAUGACCUGAAUUAACCACAGGUGCUCUUACAACUUCAUCUGAAUUCAUCUUCCUCUUUGAAUUUUAUGGAAAAAGUGCAAGAGUCAACAGCUGGGUAGAGUAAAUACACCAUGCAUGAUGCAUAAUAUUAAGUGAUUUUUUUUAACAUUACACAUUCUAAUCUGGUUUGAAAUGUUGACUUGUGUUCAUUUUUUAUAAAACGCACAGUGUGGAACAACAGGUUAUAAUGCUUUAAAAAAGCGGGAGAAGGGCCACAAUUUUGAGUUUGUAAAGAAAAAAAGUCCAUUUUCAUUAGCUUUUGUAGUGCGAAAUAUGUUUUUCUUUUUAUUUGUAUUUACAGGUUGUCAUCUGUUUAAACUUGAAUAUUUUUGUCCUCAGUAAAUCAUCAAAUUAUAUCUUAAUAGUUGC